GUGGGGAAUAUUGGACAAUGGGCGCAAGCCUGACGCAGCCAUGCCGCGUGAAUGAUGAAGGUCUUAGGAUUGUAAAAUUCUUUCACCGGGGACGAUAAUGACGGUACCCGGAGAAGAAGCUCCGGCUAACUUCGUGCCAGCAGCCGCGGUAAUACGAAGGGGGCUAGCGUUGCUCGGAAUUACUGGGCGUAAAGGGCGCGUAGGCGGACAGCUUAGUCAGAGGUGAAAGCCCAGGGCUCAACCUUGGAAUUGCCUUUGAUACUGGCUGUCUUGAGUUUGGGAGAGGUGAGUGGAACUCCGAGUGUAGAGGUGAAAUUCGUAGAUAUUCGGAAGAACACCAGUGGCGAAGGCGACUCACUGGCCCAAUACUGACGCUGAGGCGCGAAAGCGUGGGGAGCAAACAGGAUUAGAUACCCCUGUAGUCC
rnacentral:rRNA from 1 species